UACGGGGGGGGCAAGCGUUGUUCGGAAUUACUGGGCGUAAAGAGCUUGUAGGCGGUUUGUCGCGUCUGCUGUGAAAUUUCGGGGCUCAACCCCGAACUUGCAGUGGGUACGGGCAGGCUAGAGUGUGGUAGGGGAGACUGGAAUUCCUGGUGUAGCGGUGAAAUGCGCAGAUAUCAGGAGGAACACCGAUGGCGAAGGCAGGUCUCUGGGCCACUACUGACGCUGAGAAGCGAAAGCAUGGGGAGCGAACAGG
rnacentral:rRNA from 1 species